UAUAAUGGUUCUCAAUAUACUCCAAUUUCUGACCCGGCUAUGAUACCCCAAUCUCAGGCAGGAUGGGGAACAACUCUACCAACAGUUGCUCAAUCUAUGCCAUUGCAGAUGCACAAUAACAUUUACAUGCCAGCUGGAAACAUGCCACCUGGAAAUGGGCCAAUGCAAAUGCAACCUGGAAAUGGGCCAAUGCAAAUGCCACCUGGAAACAUGCCACCUGGGAGCAUUCCACUACAAAGGCCACUACAAAUGCCACCUGGAAAUGUGCCAAUGCAAAUGCCACCUGGGAGCAUGCCACUACAAAGGCCAAUGCAAAUGCCACCUGGAAACAUGCCACCAGGAAUGCAUUUCCCAAAUCAUGACAUGCUACAACCGACAUCCACAUUGCCCGCAUAUGGAUCUGAUCGUACUCAAUAGCGUGCUUCUGUGUCUCAAUAGAUCUACAUUUACCAAGAGUCAGCUAGCCUCUGCAGAAGUGAUUCGAAUUAGAGUUCCCAUCUGGUGAAACUGGCUGUCAUUUGAUUAUGUUUUGAACCUCAAAUAGGAUACUUCUCAUUUUUUCGUUUUUUAUAUGCGUAUUUUGAAUGGGAACCGGCAUGCAAUUGGCCAUCAACUUUUAGUUGGCUUACUUCCAAACAAAAUGUUCUGUUCGGGUCUUUUUUGGGUUAGGUCUGGAUACAAUUAGUUUGUCUGGGAAAUGGUAUUGAAAAAUAAUUCUGAUAAGUAGUAUCUUAUGAUAUUGCUUGCUCUUUAGCUUUGGAUAGUGAGUUCGUGACUGCAGUUGUUUUUUACUAUUAUUUUUUCAUUAAAAACAAAUAACAUGAAAAAUGGAUGGCAGAAUAUAAGCUUUAUUUAACUUUCUAACAUGGAAACUUAAUGGCAUGUUUGGUUGCCAGUUUUUUAUCACAUGCAACCUCAUUUGAAAUAUAAAUGUGAUUCGGAAUAAUUGUCGAUGCAUAUGUUUUUUUUUUUUUUUUUGACAAAGUUGUCGAUGCAUAUGUUAAAAAUUAUGCUUUUGAUAUCCGGUCACCACAAUAUUUGUUAUUUUAUUUAAAUAAUGGUUUAAUAAAUACUUGAUUAUCUUUGCUAGUAUUCUAUUUCCCAGUUCCCCAGAUUACUAUAUUAAACUAAACUAAUUUGUCUUUCAAAAAAUCUCUUGUGACUCUUGCUCUCCUUUCUCAUUCCUUGCCAUUGUCAGAACAAUAUUUAAACACCUAGCCAAUCUAGGUUGGUCCGGUUGAUACAAAGUUGACUCAUCCCAUAAGAACGUGGAGUUCAUCUUUACUCCAUUUAGGUUUGCUCAAUUUACCCCAUUUAUCAUCAUGGAUGUGUGACAUGUGGCAAAAUAGAAAAUCAAGGGCUGGGAUUAAAAAGGUUGGAAAAAGCACACGCGCGUUUGUUGUCUGCUGGUGCAUGCUCCUUCUUUAUCAUCUCAAGCUUGGAAUUCACCAAGGGAUCCUUAUAAGCAAAGGAUUUUCUUUCUCACCUAGAUUGGCUAAACAAUUUUCGAGGCACUUUUAAUGCUAGUAUCAUAAUCUCUUUCUGUAAUGGGUUUCUUCUUCUUGGUGGGUUGUGCACUAUAAUCGGGCCUUGUUCUAGGUUUCCUUUCGAUAGAAUGAUGAUACUUGGCAACUGCAACAGACUCUUUCACGGCAAUCCUUAUUUAACAGAAAAAUAUGUUGGUCCUGAAGAGAGAAAAGUACCAAAAAGGGAGAAACAUCCCUAAAUAAAAUCCUACAGAAUCGAUUUCAAUCCAUGUUGCAUGUAUCGGAAAAAGAAAAGGAAGGGGGUGGCACCGCUUCUGUAUGAACAGAAAGGGCUGCGACGGUGCCGGCGCCGGCGAGUGGGAGAGAGAAGCACAGAAGUGAUGUGGGGAGAGGAAGAAGAAGGGUCGUGAGUGGAGUUGGAACAAAAGCGCGUACCCUUGUUUUUUAUAAAACAAAUGCAUUUUCCAACCCUUUUAAUCCAGCCCUUGGUUUUCUGAUUUGCCACAUGUCACACAUCCAUGAUGGUAAAUUGGGUAAAUGGAGCAAACCCAAAUGGAGCAAAGAUGGACUCAAGAACGUGGGUUCAACUCAUGUUGUUAGCUUUAGAAUUUCGUUGGUGGACAAUCUCUGAAUACCUUUGUAACCACUAUGAGCCUUAAGGUAUCGGGUAUGUCAUGCUCCUAGUGAACUCUCAUAACUUAACUCACUUAAAAUAAAAACCAUGAAAUACACAAUAUUUGAUGUUUAAGUUUAAAAUAAUUGAAAAGUAACGUAACAAAUGACAUUAUGGUAUCACUUCAUUGGAUAGAUAUGCAAGUGUUUUAUAUUGCCCAUACAUAAUUCAUCUAAUAAACAACUGUAUAUUUCUACGUAUUUUUUGAAUAAGAAUAAAUAACAACGAACAGCCAUUAUCUUUCACAGAUAAUCAUAUCCAAAAUCAUUAACGUGGCGGCACCAAUGUCAAACCAUUUGAUAAGGUUAAAUCUCGUGGGGAUGAGGAAUAGAACCCUAGCAUUAAUUAUCCUCUUCCUUUUCCUUAUCACCCCUCUACUCUUUUUUCAUCUAUUUUUUACGACAAUUGUUCCUUUCACCUCGAGAUACACCUUUUAAAAAAAAAAAUAUUAUGCGUAUCAUUUAAGUUUCUUUUUAACGGCCUACAAAAAAAGUUUUCUUUACGGAAUCAUUUGUGUUACAUCCAAUUAUCAUCAUCAUUCACAUUAAUUAAGUGACCUUUGAUCAUAAAUAAUUUUUUAAUAUGUUACCAGGUCUAAAUUAAUGUCAUAAUGGCCACACACACAAAAACAAACAAAAUCUCUUCAUAUUUUCUGAUUUUUCACUCUUUACACAUUUCUAUAGUUUCUUUCAUAUAAAUAUGAUUGCUGAAUUCGAUAAAGUUAUAAUAAUGCUGCUAGAUAAUGAAACAAAGAAGUCUGAGAUCUGUUUAUAUAUAAGUAUCCUCAGCUAAAUGAUGGAAUUUUACUGCAACUAAUCAAAACAAUUUUACAGACCAACUUUCACCAGCACCUAUAUACAGAAAGAACAUGACAUGAAGAUCACACUGAAGCAAAUGCUCCUUCUUCACCUUUUACUGUACUGGAUUCAGACACCUGUCUAAAAUAUUCUGUUCUUUAACACUACCAAAGAGAGAAACCAGCAUAUAUAACAGAGAAAUUAAUAAAGCAGACCAAAUAAGCAAAUGCUACAAGUCUAUAACAUAUGAAACAGACACUAUUUCCACUUGCCAGUCCGUCUCCUAAGCCUCCAAGAUCGGAAAGCCCCUGAAGCUUCAUCCGUGGCAGAAAGUUUUCAGCCACUUAUCAACAACUCAUGCAUCCGAUCAAGUGGUUCAGUGAGGUCCUGCACAGCAUGUCCUUCUGAGACAUCUGAAAGUGAUUUGAGAUUGCACUUAAUUAAGGCUUCAACGAAGUAGCAGGUCUCAUCCUUGGUAUUCCCCUCUGGUACAUCUACCACAAAAGAUUCAAUUACCAGGGUUCCUGGUCUUCCAUCAAUAAUUUCUGGAUGGAGGGACAUGAUAGAUGAGUAGUUCUGAAAAACAAAAGAUCGUUUUUGUUGUUAAUUAAGCGAGGUGGAGGAGGAGGUAAACUGUAGCAUGCAACAGAAAGAAAUAAAAAUAUAUGACAUUUCCAAAUUAAGUGCAAGCCUUGACGAAAACAAUCUAAGGCAAUAUUGAGUCUAGGAAAAUGACCCUUCCAUGUUUUACUUGAUUUAUAUUCCAUAAUCAGAGGUGGAUAUACUCUUUCACAUAGCAUGGGAAUGAAAGGUAUAUUAGAAAUAUUAAUUUCCAAUUCUUUCUCGCAUCAUUUGAAUUUUGAACGUAUUCCCAAAAUAUUAAAUGCGGACCAAACAUGUUUUCAAAUUUACCUCAAAGUAACAUUCCCGGACAGUGCUCUUGGGAAUAAAAUUAUACACCUUGAAAGGAACAUCUCCAAAGUGAAGAGAGAUUAUUGACUCAGGGGAAUCUUGGUUGUAUUUGUAUUAAACCAUUCUUGUGGCUUAAGCACUUAGGUUUUUUUUUUUUUUUUGAUAAAUAAGCACUUAGGCUUUUGGGAUAAAGCAAUUCUAGUGACAUCAUAAUAUAGGAACAUCAGUUUCAAAGUUAGCAAACUAUGACAGUUAAUUAGUGGCCUAAGAAUUCAUGGAAUCUUAAACAUGUCCUUGGUUUGACAAUUGGUUGAAUUCCUAGACAAUGAAAGUUUUAGCUACACACAGGGAACAAUGUAAACCAGAAGAACCAAACAUCAAGGAUCUUGUUGACAAAUGACAACUACAUUAACUUUACGCCAGCAGAAGAAGCGGCACUUUAACAGAUAUUUUUCCUUUGUAAAACGAUGCACAUGACUCAAAAUAGAAUCAAAUUUAUACCAUUCUGAGCAAUAUAUGAUAAGAAACAGUGUUAGGAAUAUCUGUUACCAUAUAACUAGUGGGACCAUUAAAAAAAAAGCAUAUAACUUGAGGGACAGAACCUAAGUGUAGCAGUGAGCUGGUUAGUUAGUUUUACAUGGACUAGACCAGGCUUUUAAAUUUCCGGGAAUUGGGAAUUCUUGUAAACAUUCAGUCUCUAUUAACUUGAAUUAUCUCGUUGAGAGAUAAGCUAUUUAAUAAUGAUCUCUUCAUUCAUCUAUUUCCUUCCUAUUUUGACCAUGUACCUAUAAACUAAUAUCAGAGCUCAGAUCUUUGAGCUAUGGAUAUUGCAUCUUAAAGCAAAUCUAGAAGCUACUUAUCAGUUGAGCAAGAAUGGAGAAGCAAAUUCUUGAAGAGAUGCAGUGAAAGUUUGCAGGUUUCAAGUUUAAAUUAUGAUAGAAAACAUUAAAAAAGUAGAUAUCAUAUGCAUCGGAAACAAGUACCAGGCUUACCAUCAUAAAGACAAAAGGAUAACAAAAAUUCCUUCCACCCCAAAUAUACUAAAUGACGUGUAUAAUAUUAUACUACUGGCUAGAGCUUAUACUACUUGGAAUAAUGCAACAAAUAUAAUAACUGUUCAAAAUAAUGAAGUCUACUAUUCAACAUCUUGUUAGUUGUUACAACAGCACACAUGAUUGCACUCAGUCAAUUAUAUGAAUGAAACACAAUGUACACACUCAACAACGAACUAAUAGACCUCCCUCACGGUAUCAACAUCCCAGAUAUGGAUUAGAGAUUUUUAAAGCUCCCAACAGAGAUUAAUUAUGUAUAUUCUGUUUCUACCGAUGCAAUGUGUGUCUUACACACACAAACAUAUAUAAUUAGUUCAUCAUAAUGAGUGGUUGAGGAAAUGUUUUAUUGUUUCAACAAAAGAAUAAAGAAGGUAAAUUAUGGUAAGGAAGUAAUCAUACCCUAAGCCUAUGAUCACCACCAAUAAUCCUGAUGCUUAGAAUAUGCUCAUUGUCAUCAAGGACCUCCAAUCUUUCAGUACUAGUUGUAGCCGGAAGCCCUGACUUAACAUCAACUUCUCUUAAACUCCCAAUCUCAAGGUUUCCCCUCACCACACACCUGCUCACGAAUGGUUUAUAUUUCUGCGGCUGAUCAAACCUCCUCACCAAAGACCAUACCUAGAGAAAGAAAGAAAAAAAUAAACGCAAUAAAUAAACAAUUCCAUUGAGAAACAUAGUAGAAUCAUUCAAUUCAAUUAACAUAGUUUCUAAAUUCUGCAUUACACAUUGCCACAGCCAAACUCUUCACAUCAUAAUAUCGAUUGCAGAUACAAAUAACUAGAUCAUCAUCAUAUUCAAGUAUGAAGCACGACACAUACACUGACACAGACACCACUGGUAAAAAUUUGGAAAAAUGAAUUAAUUGAAUGUAAUUCACAUGUGUCGGCGUAAGACACCAACACACCAACACGUGUCAGAUACCAGACACACGAUCACUUGUCAAUUCAAACUAAAUUAGCAAUUUUCCAGUGAUAAACAUAGGAGAAUCAUUUAAUUCAAUCAACAUAGUUUCUAUAUUGUGCAUUCCAGUGAAAAAUGAAUUAAUUGAAUGUAAUUACAUCGUGUCAGAGAGUGUAAGUGUCUGACACCGACAAAUCAGACACGCCUUUCAUCAGAAGUAUGUAUCGGUGUUCCAGAGAUUCAACUAUCAACAAUUCAUAGACCAAAAAGCUAAAAAAAAAAAAAAAAAAAAAAAAACAGAAAUAACCAAAUAAAAA
rnacentral:lncRNA from 1 species